ACUGCCUUAGCUUAGUUUGUACAGUAUCAGAGUACAAAUCCAGAGGUCGUGAGUUCAAAUCCCACAAGCAGUU
rnacentral:tRNA from 1 species